AGGUCACUUCAUAGACAGCUGGUGGGCUAUGAAAUCAGGAAUUCUUACCAUUUUGACCAGAGAUUGAUGUUCUCCUUAGGAUGCAAUAAUCACUCAAUAGUGCUUUUUUUCUGAGAAGAUAAAAGA
rnacentral:snoRNA from 1 species